rnacentral:rRNA from 1 species
UCCUACGGGGCGCAGCAGUGGGGAAUAUUGCACAAUGGGGGAAACCCUGAUGCAGCAACGCCGCGUGAGUGAGGAAGUAUUUCUGUAUGUAAAGCUCUAUCAGCAGGGAAUAGAAAAGAAGGUACCUGAAAAAGAAGCCCCGGCUAACUACGUGCCAGCAGCCGCGGUAAUACGUAGGUGGCAAGCGUUGUCCGGAUUUACUGGGUGUAAAGGGCGUGCAGCCGGAGAGACAAGUCAGAUGUGAAAUCCACGGGCUCAACCCGUGAACUGCAUUUGAAACUGUUUCCCUUGAGUGUCGGAGAGGU